rnacentral:lncRNA from 14 species
CCUGUCCCCAUAUUGGCCUCAGCUUCGGGCCAGCCCUCGCUGCCCCUCACACCUCCCCGGGCUGAGGCAUGGGGCAGCCUCUCGUGGCUCCCCCAACAUCCCAACCCCAGGGCCUGGCUGUGGGGACAGGUUCGGGUAGCCCAAGGUGACAGGGUCUUGCCCUGCUCGUGUGGCAGGAGCUGCUGUCACUGAGCAGAGGCAUCCAGUCCUGGAAGUUACCUGUUGGGUUUUGUUUUCCAGUCGCCUUCCGCAACAAGGCUUCACAGAAGACUCAUCACGUUCAUCUUGUGUUGGUGGUGUUCUCCACCUAGGCAUCAAAAAGACUGAAAUGUGCCUUGGAUCAGCUUGGAACACCGGAACAAAGUUUACGUUUCGGGCCCAUGUGCGUGAACAAAAGCAUCAGAAUGAGUGGGGAGGAGGUGGAGGUGCAAGACAGAGAUCAGUGACCUGGGAUCAUGCACCCACAACCAAUCUGCUGCUGCAAAACUCACACUGUCCACAAGGUUACCAGGACUGCAGCAUGCAUCUGCCUGCGUGGAGCCUGUCUACCUGUGAGAGCCAGAGGAAGGUCUUUCCAGAGGGUGAAUCAUCACUGUCAGCUCCAAUAGCUGAAAGGCCGCACAUGGAAGAAUUGAGACCCGAGGAUGAACAUCACUUGGCUUUCAGCUCAUCCUGAGGUGAAACAGAGCGAUGGACACAAGCACUUCAGCAUCUGAGGGUCCUACCUGGACACUGUGUGGUGCUUCAAGCAUGUAUGAUUCUGUGCUCAAAACCAGCUGUGUUCUACUUUUUUUUUACCUCCUCAGGUGUGAGGUGCAGGUGUGCAGUGCUGUUGCUGCAGUGUUGUUCUGUCAUUUCCUGUGCAACAGUCUUUUUGCUCAUGUUCAAGACCACCAAAAGAUAUGAAGGCUUGGGGUUUUAUGCAGCAGGGGAUGCAUUUCACUAAAGAAAAAAAAGCUCCAAGCCAGGAGCCAGGAUACUUUUAACACACCGAUUUAACAUCUUUUCUGAGCCUCUUACUUUUAAAACUUUGCAAACACGCUUUAGCUGAAAUUAAUGCACAACCCCAUAAAGGUAGAUGGCUUGUUUCACAUUCAGACAGACACUUAGCAUGUGCUGCUUCACACAGUCACCUUGGCCUAGCUGCAGACUGCGGGGCUCGGAGGAGCACGGCGGCACGCCUGGAGGAAAUCCUUCCCCAGGAUGGUUGUUGGAGGCAGCGCCUGCUCCCAGCACCACUCGGGGAAGCCUUAAUGAAAAGCAGCUCAUCAGCAGUUACGUAACCUAAUGAUAAUCCGGCUCAGGCCGGGCAAUACUUAAAGCCACAGCGUCUUUCUGCCGUGACCUAUUUUAUGCUCCAUGCAAGGGCAAUAGUAUGUGGUUUGUAACUUUGCUGAGUCUUUUACCGCGGAGUUAUUGCCUGUCAGGAGGAAAGCCCCCUGCACACAUUUCUUCUGCUUUCCUGGCUGCAAAGCAGCCGCUUCAGAUCUGUCAGUGGCUUUUUAUGGUAUCGGCUCCAAGCACAGGCACAGUAGAGAGCAAAUUGUAAACAAUUAAAAGGAAAACACUUCAUGUCCUGCAGGAAACUCAGCUUACUUUAAUUUCAGCCUCAGAAGCUGCAAAGGGUCCAGGGAUAUGUUGUGCAGCACUUCUAAUACCAUAUUGAACAACACAGAAAGCUUUUGUGUUUUUAUUAGACCUCAGAGAGCAAAAAUGCAUGUUUCUACAUUCCAGGGUCAUAUUUACAUUUGACUUAAGAAAAUCAUUAGGAUGGCACUGGCAUAACUCACACUAGUACGACUGAUCAGCCCCCUGUAAUUAUUUUUUUUACCUCUCAAUCUGCAGAAGUAUCAACAAGAGAUUAAACACAGAGAUGUUGCUUCAGAUCUCAGCAUUUAAUCUGACCACAGAUGGUGUCAAAAGAGGGACAGCCAUGCAAAAUAGCAACAGAUUUUUUUCCGAAACAAUCACUUUUUUGUGUAAUAAAGAUAGAGAACAAGUAGCCA